CCUACGGGAGGCUGCAGUGGGGAAUAUUGCGCAAUGGGCGAAAGCCUGACGCAGCGACGCCGCGUGAGGGAUGAAGGUCUUCGGAUCGUAAACCUCUGUCAGCAGGGAAGAACGGUCACUGUGCUAAUCAGCAGUGAAUUGACGGUACCUGCAAAGGAAGCACCGGCUAACUACGUGCCAGCAGCCGCGGUAAUACGUAGGGGGCAAGCGUUAUCCGGAUUUACUGGGUGUAAAGGGAGCGUAGACGGCUAGUCAAGUCAGAAGUGAAAGCCCAGGGCUCCACCUUGGGACUGCUUUUGAAACUGCGUAGCUAUAGUGCAGGAGAGGUAAGCGGAAUUCCUAGUGUAGCGGUGAAAUGCGUAGAUAUUAGGAGGAACCCCAGUGGCGAAGGCGGCUUACUGGACUGUAACUGACGUUGAGGCUCGAAAGCGUGGGGAGCAAACCGGAUUAGAUACCCUUGUAGUC
rnacentral:rRNA from 1 species